CCGGGAUAGCUCAGUUGGUAGAGCANAGGACUGAAAAUC
rnacentral:tRNA from 2 species